rnacentral:rRNA from 1 species
GGACGAACGCUGGCGGCGUGCUUAACACAUGCAAGUCGAACGCUGAAGCCCAGCUUGCUGGGUGGAUGAGUGGCGAACGGGUGAGUAACACGUGAGUAACCUGCCCCCUUCUUUGGGAUAACGCCCGGAAACGGGUGCUAAUACUGGAUAUUCACUGAUCUUCGCAUGGGGGUUGGUGGAAAGGUUUKUUCUGGUGGGGGAUGGGCUCGCGGCCUAUCAGCUUGUUGGUGGGGUGAUGGCCUACCAAGGCUUUGACGGGUAGCCGGCCUGAGAGGGUGACCGGUCACAUUGGGACUGAGAUACGGCCCAGACUCCUACGGGAGGCAGCAGUGGGGAAUAUUGCACAAUGGGCGAAAGCCUGAUGCAGCGACGCCGCGUGAGGGAUGACGGCCUUCGGGUUGUAAACCUCUUUCGCUCAUGGUCAAGCCGCAACUGUGGGUUGUGGUGAGGGUAGUGGGUAAAGAAGCGCCGGCUAACUACGU